rnacentral:rRNA from 1 species
AUUGUACGCUGGCGGCAUGCUUUACACAUGCAAGUCGAACGGUAACAGGCCACAAGGUGCUGACGAGUGGCGAACGGGUGAGUAAUGCAUCGGAACGUGCCCAGCCGUGGGGGAUAACGCAGCGAAAGCUGCGCUAAUACCGCAUACGAUCUAUGGAUGAAAGCGGGGGACCGUAAGGCCUCGCGCGAUUGGAGCGGCCGAUGUCAGAUUAGGUAGUUGGUGGGGUAAAGGCUCACCAAGCCAACGAUCUGUAGCUGGUCUGAGAGGACGACCAGCCACACUGGGACUGAGACACGGCCCAGACUCCUACGGGAGGCAGCAGUGGGGAAUUUUGGACAAUGGGCGCAAGCCUGAUCCAGCAAUGCCGCGUGCAGGAAGAAGGCCUUCGGGUUGUAAACUGCUUUUGUACGGAACGAAACGGUCCUGGUUAAUACCUGCGGCUAAUGACGGUACCGUAAGAAUAAGCACCGGCUAACUACGUGCCAGCAGCCGCCGUAACAC